rnacentral:rRNA from 1 species
GGAAUAUUGCGCAAUGGAGGAAACUCUGACGCAGUGACGCCGCGUAUAGGAUGAAGGUUUUCGGAUUGUAAACUAUUGUCGUUAGGGAAGAUUUAAGACAGUACCUAAGGAGGAAGCUCCGGCUAACUACGUGCCAGCAGCCGCGGUAAUACGUAGGGAGCAAGCGUUAUCCGGAUUUAUUGGGUGUAAAGGGUGCGUAGACGGGAAGGCAAGUUAGUUGUGAAAUCCCUCGGCUUAACUGAGGAACUGCAACUAAAACUAUCUUUCUUGAGUGCAGGAGAGGAAAGAGGAAUUCCUAGUGUAGCGGUGAAAUGCGUAGAUAUUAGGAGGAACACCAGUGGCGAAGGCGUCUUUCUGGACUGUAACUGACGUUGAGGCACGAAAGUGUGGGGAGCAAACA